rnacentral:lncRNA from 1 species
GCAAAGCCAACAGAGUGAGGUGUCGAUGAGCCAGCAAUUGGAAGUCCGUGGCAUGCUUGCCAUGGUGCUUACUCUAGUGAUGAGUACACGAAUUCGUGGCAUGUGAAUCUUUCCACCCUUAAUUCCCCCAGAGGAAUACACAGACUGUGUCACAGUCACACGUAAGAAACACACUGAGAAAGGCAAACGUUCACGUGAUGAAUGAUGCUUCCUCCUUAUCUACCUCUCGUUGGUUCUUGUUUGGUUCUCCAUCGUAAGGAGCCUUCCACUCCAGAGGAGGAGAGGAGGGAGCCAUGAGCUUCGGGAGCAAGUCUUCUGUGAGCUGCGCUGACGCUCGUUGGCCGGUUAGACCAAGCUACAAGUGGCCGGAGUCCGACGCCGAGUUCGUGAAGUCGAUGGCAGGAAGAAGGGGUGAAAGAGGCAGCCAUCGCGAUGGGAGGAAGAAGUGGAGUCCGAGUCCGAUGGUGGUGGAUAGCUAUUCCUGCCGGCAGAUGUACCUGAGGAGCUACACCUUCUCCAAGGAGGAGACUGUCACGGAGAAGGCACGGCAGUGCCUCGGGAAAGUCAAGGGGCGAGCUGCUCUUCUGUUCCCUUUUCUCCAGCAGAAUUCUGAGAGCGGCAAUGAAAUGCACGGACGUAACAGCAGGAGGAAGAAGAAGAAGAAGAAGAAGAAGGGUUGCGGAACAAACAGGAAGCUGAGAGAGAUCUCCUACUCGGCACUGUUCUCCAUUUUCUACCGACUCCUCUUGUGCACCGCUGGUGUCGAAGUUGCUGACCGAAAAUAAACCGACGUGUUAAUUUUGCUGGAUCUCUCUCCAUACAAGUACAAAUUUGUUCUAUGUAUUCUCAGAAGCUGGUGUUUUGUAUCUGUGUAUCGUACUAAAAUAUCAGAAUUAAGAGUCGCAAUAUUACUUUUAUACUCUGCAGCUUUUGAAGAACUCGAUAAGAACUCCUUGCAGAAAUUGUCAUUACACAUCCUAUUUCAAGUUGUUCCAAGGAUGAAAUAUUAUACAUUCAAUUUGUAUCAUCCUUUAUAAGUGCUGUCCGUGUAAGCCUCUGAGAUAAACAUACAGACUCUCUCUCUCUCUCUCUCUCUAAAACACAUCACACCAAUUCUGCUUAUUUAGUGAGAAGCAUGCAUGAACAUCUCUUUUUGUGUGGCGGCCAACAAAAGUUGUGGAAGAUCUCAUGGACCGUCUUGUGUGCAGCUUAGAAGAGGCUGCUCGCAUAGUGCCCACUGGAGAACGUUCUUGUUGAUGUGCCUCACAUGGUCACAAAGUGUUUGAGCCUACAUCUGUCCUUAUUUGAUUCUCGGCAACAAGUCUUGUUAAGCUUUCUUCUCAUGGUUAGAAUACGUUUGUGAAACUCGAGUUUUCCCCUUCCAAUGUAACCCGAUCGGUUGGUAUCUCACAGUUGGAUUGUUUUAUAUGUAAUUAAUACUGGUUUCAUUACUUAGAUUUGUGGGGGGAGAUACUGAUGAUUAAGUUUCGAGUUCCAAAGAUGAUUCCUGUUGUCCAUCAAUCAUCUCACUCUCGCUAUUCAGAUGGAAAGGAUGGAAAAUCCAAGUUCAAGAAUAGUAUGUUGCAUAUGUUGGCCUUCUCCUAUUGCCCAGCCUUUCUUUCCUUCAGUCAACAUCAGUACAUUUUCCACAUCUUUGCAACUCCGGACAGACAUCUAAGUGAUGACACCACUCGUGGAUACCACAGCAACCAUUGUGGAACACCCAUGGUGGCUACAUGAAGAACAAAAGCAGAGCCAUGCGACUGCUGAUGUUUCUUCUACUGUAAUGUCAACUUUCUGUGAUCCUGAAUCGAAGCAAAACUAAUGGUUAUGGUUUGCUGACGACGCGUGGAUUGGUUGGAGCAGAUGAUGGCACAGUUGAGAGGAGCAGCCACUGCCACAGGGGUUCCAUUUUCAAGAACCAACCAAGUGAGCAGAGACCAAA